GGGACACGUGGUAUCCUGUCUGAAUAUGGGGGGACCAUCCUCCAAGGCUAAAUACUCCUGACUGACCGAUAGUGAACCAGUACCGUGAGGGAAAGGCGAAAAGAACCCCGGCGAGGGGAGUGAAAAAGAACCUGAAACCGUGUACGUACAAGCAGUGGGAGCACGCUUAGGCGUGUGACUGCGUACCUUUUGUAUAAUGGGUCAGCGACUUAUAUUCUGUAGCAAGGUUAACCGAAUAGGGGAGCCGAAGGGAAACCGAGUCUUAACUGGGCGUUAAGUUGCAGGGUAUAGACCCGAAACCCGGUGAUCUAGCCAUGGGCAGGUUGAAGGUUGGGUAACACUAACUGGAGGACCGAACCGACUAAUGUUGAAAAAUUAGCGGAUGACUUGUGGCUGGGGGUGAAAGGCCAAUCAAACCGGGAGAUAGCUGGUUCUCCCCGAAAGCUAUUUAGGUAGCGCCUCGUGAAUUCAUCUCCGGGGGUAGAGCACUGUUUCGGCAAGGGGGUCAUCCCGACUUACCAACCCGAUGCAAACUGCGAAUACCGGAGAAUGUUAUCACGGGAGACACACGGCGGGUGCUAACGUCCGUCGUGAAGAGGGAAACAACCCAGACCGCCAGCUAAGGUCCCAAAGUCAUGGUUAAGUGGGAAACGAUGUGGGAAGGCCCAGACAGCCAGGAUGUUGGCUUAGAAGCAGCCAUCAUUUAAAGAAAGCGUAAUAGCUCACUGGUCGAGUCGGCCUGCGCGGAAGAUGUAACGGGGCUAAACCAUGCACCGAAGCUGCGGCAGCGACGCUUAUGCGUUGUUGGGUAGGGGAGCGUUCUGUAAGCCUGUGAAGGUGUGCUGUGAGGCAUGCUGGAGGUAUCAGAAGUGCGAAUGCUGACAUAAGUAACGAUAAAGCGGGUGAAAAGCCCGCUCGCCGGAAGACCAAGGGUUCCUGUCCAACGUUAAUCGGGGCAGGGUGAGUCGACCCCUAAGGCGAGGCCGAAAGGCGUAGUCGAUGGGAAACAGGUUAAUAUUCCUGUACUUGGUGUUACUGCGAAGGGGGGACGGAGAAGGCUAUGUUGGCCGGGCGACGGUUGUCCCGGUUUAAGCGUGUAGGCUGGUUUUCCAGGCAAAUCCGGAAAAUCAAGGCUGAGGCGUGAUGACGAGGCACUACGGUGCUGAAGCAACAAAUGCCCUGCUUCCAGGAAAAGCCUCUAAGCAUCAGGUAACAUCAAAUCGUACCCCAAACCGACACAGGUGGUCAGGUAGAGAAUACCAAGGCGCUUGAGAGAACUCGGGUGAAGGAACUAGGCAAAAUGGUGCCGUAACUUCGGGAGAAGGCACGCUGAUAUGUAGGUGAAGCGACUUGCUCGUGGAGCUGAAAUCAGUCGAAGAUACCAGCUGGCUGCAACUGUUUAUUAAAAACACAGCACUGUGCAAACACGAAAGUGGACGUAUACGGUGUGACGCCUGCCCGGUGCCGGAAGGUUAAUUGAUGGGGUCAGCGCAAGCGAAGCUCUUGAUCGAAGCCCCGGUAAACGGCGGCCGUAACUAUAACGGUCCUAAGGUAGCGAAAUUCCUUGUCGGGUAAGUUCCGACCUGCACGAAUGGCGUAAUGAUGGCCAGGCUGUCUCCACCCGAGACUCAGUGAAAUUGAACUCGCUGUGAAGAUGCAGUGUACCCGCGGCAAGACGGAAAGACCCCGUGAACCUUUACUAUAGCUUGACACUGAACAUUGAGCCUUGAUGUGUAGGAUAGGUGGGAGGCUUAGAAGUGUGGACGCCAGUCUGCAUGGAGCCGACCUUGAAAUACCACCCUUUAAUGUUUGAUGUUCUAACGUUGACCCGUAAUCCGGGUUGCGGACAGUGUCUGGUGGGUAGUUUGACUGGGGCGGUCUCCUCCUAAAGAGUAACGGAGGAGCACGAAGGUUGGCUAAUCCUGGUCGGACAUCAGGAGGUUAGUGCAAUGGCAUAAGCCAGCUUGACUGCGAGCGUGACGGCGCGAGCAGGUGCGAAAGCAGGUCAUAGUGAUCCGGUGGUUCUGAAUGGAAGGGCCAUCGCUCAACGGAUAAAAGGUACUCCGGGGAUAACAGGCUGAUACCGCCCAAGAGUUCAUAUCGACGGCGGUGUUUGGCACCUCGAUGUCGGCUCAUCACAUCCUGGGGCUGAAGUAGGUCCCAAGGGUAUGGCUGUUCGCCAUUUAAAGUGGUACGCGAGCUGGGUUUAGAACGUCGUGAGACAGUUCGGUCCCUAUCUGCCGUGGGCGCUGGAGAACUGAGGGGGGCUGCUCCUAGUACGAGAGGACCGGAGUGGACGCAUCACUGGUGUU
rnacentral:rRNA from 1 species